AUUGAACGCUGGCGGCAUGCUUUACACAUGCAAGUCGAACGGUAACAGGGAGCUUGCUCCGCUGACGAGUGGCGAACGGGUGAGUAAUGCGUCGGAACGUGCCGAGUAGUGGGGGAUAACGCAGCGAAAGUUGUGCUAAUACCGCAUACGUACUGAGGUAGAAAGUGGGGGACCUUCGGGCCUCACGCUAUUCGAGCGGCCGACGUCUGAUUAGCUAGUAGGUGAGGUAAAGGCUCACCUAGGCGACGAUCAGUAGCGGGUCUGAGAGGAUGAUCAGCCACACCGGGACUGAGACACGGCCCAGACUCCUACGGGAGGCAGCAGUGGGGAAUUUUGGACAAUGGGCGAAAGCCUGAUCCAGCCGUGCCGCGUGUCUGAAGAAGGCCUUCGGGUUGUAAAGGACUUUUGUCGGGGAGGAAAUCCCCAGUGCUAAUACCGCUGGGGGAUGACAGUACCCGAAGAAUAAGCACCGGCUAACUACGUGCCAGCCGCCGCGGUAA
rnacentral:rRNA from 1 species